rnacentral:rRNA from 1 species
UCCUACGGGAGGCAGCAGUGAGGAAUAUUGGUCAAUGAUCGGGAGACUGAACCAGCCAAGCCGCGUGAGGGAUGAAGGUACAGAGUAUCGUAAACCUCUUUUGUCAGGGAACAAAGGCGGGGACGCGUCCCCGGAUGAGUGUACCUGAAGAAAAAGCAUCGGCUAACUCCGUGCCAGCAGCCGCGGUAAUACGGAGGAUGCGAGCGUUAUCCGGAUUUAUUGGGUUUAAAGGGUGCGCAGGCGGUCUGUUAAGUCAGCGGUCAAAGCCCGGGGCUCAACCCUGGCCCGCCGUUUGAACUGGCAGU